CACUACUAGAAAAAGUAGAUAUAACAUCGCGGCUUCCACAUCGGUCUUAAAAACCACCGAUGUUAAAAAUGUUUUUAACAUCAAAAAUGAAAAAACUGAUGUUAAAAAGCAUUUUAGACAUCGGUAUUUAUAAUCACCGAUAUCUUUUCUUCAGUUUGAAAAUUAUAAAAACACGGGACUUUUGUUUCCCCCUUUUAACACACUAAAACAUACCGCCUUUCUUACAAACAUUCCCCUUGACCAGAUUUUUAUUUUUCCUCUUUCUCUCUAUCGGCUCUCAUCUCAUCUCAAUCUCUUCUCUCUUAAUCUCCUUCAAUCUCUCUCUCUCCCUCCGUCCAUCUCCCUCCCCCGUCUUUCUCUCACCAUCAAUAUCAAACACACUAACUCACCAAUAUGAAUCUGUUUUAUUUAACCCUGAUUGCAGUACUAGCUCGAAGAAGAUCCGUUCGAUUUACAAGGUAACUUGGAGGAUCUCAAUUAGUUCGAAUGGAUUUCAGAUUUGUGAUGGGGUCAAUUCGAUUUUUUGGUUUGGAACGGUUCAAUUGGGUUUUAGGGUUUCAAUUAGCAAAGCAGGUCUCUUGUUCUCUAUAUCUAUCUUCUUCUUCUUCAUGACUUUCAUUUCAGUCAGACUUGUGCAUAAAAUAGUUAAAGAAUUUUGUAAGCCAGGAGGGGGGCUUCCUUUAUUGGAGCAAGUUUCGAUCCCUACUGCCUCAUUGAAACUCUGGAAGGAAAGAUAUGACUGAUGCAUUGUCUUCCAAUAGUCAAUGAGAAGGGAACUUAGCGGGUGAUGUCACCAAUACAUAUAAGGAGGUGAGAAUUUUAAGUACUUUAUAAUGUUUGCUAAGAGCAAAGGUGAUGUCCUAUGGUUUGCCCUCAUAUUGCUCUAUUGGCAGUCUGGAGUUCUUCCUCAGUGUUAGGCAAACCAUAGGAUCCUUGAUGCAGAUGCUACUUGUUUAGAAGUCCCAUUGGAGCAUGUUGCCUCCAAUUUGGAAAAUUAUGACCUUGUUGUUGAAGAUAGUGAACGAGCGGUGUCCGAAUCUGCAUGCGUAUCUAUUGUUGUGCUUGGUGCUUCUGGUGAUCUUGCAAAAAAGACUCUCCCUGAACUCUUGCACAUCUAAAUUUCGUUGUGAUAGUUGGCUUGUGUUGAUGGUUUCAUGUCAUUAUAGAACUAGCUCUCUUCAUUUUGAUAUUGGACAUGUAUUUUGUACUAUGAGGCGAUAAAUUUAUGCUAAUAUUUUUAUGAUUAAUGUUCUAUAAUAUUUCUCUU